CGCCGUACCACCCACAAACAAAUGGUUUGGUGGAAAAACGAAAUGGCACAAUACAAAGGUCCCUGAACAAACUGGUGGAGGGUGAGCCCAAACGGUGGGACCAACUCCUCCAAGGGACGAUGUUUGGUCUGAGAACGAAAACCCAGCUGACCACCAGGUUCAGCCCUUAUUUUCUGAUGUUUGGGAGGGAGGCGAGGUACCCGUCAGAGGUGCCCAAGGAGUAUGAAAUAACGGAAGAGAAAGUCAGCAGCUUGGUGCAAAUGGAGGAAGUCUUCGAGGGACUCAAAAAACAGGAGGCAGUUUUCGCGGAGGUGAAAGGUAACAUAGCAAAAAGCCAGGAUAA